GUCCAGGGAUGGGAAUCGAACCCACAGUGUUCAGCUUACCGGGCAGAUGCCAUGUCCACUAGGCUACCCUGGA